rnacentral:rRNA from 1 species
UACGGAGGGUGCGAGCGUUAAUCGGAAUUACUGGGCGUAAAGGGCGCGUAGGCGGCCGAUCAAGUCAGAUGUGAAAGCCCUGGGCUUAACCCGGGAAGCGCGCUUGAUACUGCAGGGCUUGAGUGUGGGAGAGGAUGAUGGAAUUCCCAGUGUAGAGGUGAAAUUCGUAGAUAUUGGGAAGAGCACCGGUGGCGAAGGCGAUCAUCUGGACCACAACUGACGCUGAGGCGCGAAAGCGUGGGGAGCAAACAGGAUUAGAAACCCUGGUAGU